rnacentral:lncRNA from 1 species
CGAGGAAAAUUGGCUCACGUCCUCAAUAGUCUUACAGGUUUUAGUUUUUUUUUUUUUUUUUUUUUGUCAACUUGCUUUUAUUAAAAAACCCAUAAGAUAAUUUUACAAAUGGAAUCAGAUUUAAGCCCAUUACAAUCAUUGAACCCAAUUAAAACCAACUUCAUGAUAAGGAUGAACAAAAAUACAGCAUCUGUCCAUCCACGUGUCCUCCUUGCAGCUUAAAAUGGAUCCACAGCUGGAAGAGCUUCUUCAUCACCGGAAAAGCACCGUCCUGGACUCCGAUGAUACAAUUCAUUUCCAGAAAAAAAGCAGUUAAGAUUCCAUUUGCAUGCUCCAAGCUCUCUAGUCGCCAUUGCCUCUGAAAAUACUCCACUGCCUUCGCCAGAUUUGUAGAACUCCAAGAGCUUUACUUGAUUCAAUAACAGUCAUUGUCAAAACGUUUGUCUAUAGGACAAACUUUGACUUUUCUUAAACUGCACCAAAUCACAAAAGCCAUCUUGUAAAACUCAAUUCUUCAAAUCGUUAGAAAACUUUGCCCAAGAUCAAUAUAGCAAAGAUUGACUUCUUAAAGAUAUAAAGAUUGAGAAUGACCGGAAAGGAAGAAGAAAACUUUAGAGACAAGAGGGAAUAAAAUCUUUCAGGUACGAGAGAUGAAGCUUGAUAGAGACUGUAUUAUUUUUUAAAAUCAAAUUCAAUCGAAAAAGGAGAAAGAACACAUAAGAUCAGCUUCGAUUGAAAUUGAUUACACUACAAAAUCGCCAAAGCGAAGAGGAAGAUCGCCUACGCGAAUAUUUAUUGACCAAAAACUAUAAACAAACAAAAAAGAGAAGUUCUCAAAUCCUCUGAAAGAUCAAAGUGUGUUGAGAGGAUUUGAGAGAGAAUUCUCUCUCCCGAAGUAGAGAGAGAAACUAUAGGUUUUAGUUUUCUAUCAAAUCAUUAUAACCAAUUCAAACUAAAUU